rnacentral:lncRNA from 1 species
GUGGCAAACCAAACUAUCAUGAUUUUGCCUAUGAUAAGUAAUUAAAAGUAUCACAAUAUAGUCUAUGACAGAUAAUUCAUAUCAUAGCUAGUCCGAAUCCUCUUUACAUAAUCAAUAAGUCAUUCAAUUUUCUCUUAUCGAAUAAAAUAACUUCAUACAAUAUUUCUUUCCCAAUUUCAAAACAACUAACUUCUUAUUAUAAACAAUCAAUAUG